UUUUGCCCCCAGCUGGCCCAGGAAGCAGGGCGGGGGGCCACAGGAGCCUUCGAGUCUUUCUAAGGAUAGUGUCCAAUGGGUUUCUCUUGCUGUCUCCGGAGCCUGGGCGCCGGUGCCUGUACUCAUCGCUGCCCAGCCCCAGCCAGGUGGUCCCUCGUCCACCACCACAACUGGCUCGUGUGUGUGUGCAACACACUCUGCGCAAUGUGACUGGACCUUGAGCUCCGCGUGGACUGGGCUGCUGUCCACGGAGACCCAGCACCUGUGUCCCUGACACACAGAGGCAACAAGGGCUGCUGACAGACACCGGUUCCAAGCCCCAGGCCCAGUCCUGGGCAUGCAGACGUGGAAAGAGCCCGCUUGUGUCCGGGCAGGAUGAGUGGAGACUGCAGUUAUGCCAGCCCCACCCACGCCUGCGCAGCCAUAUGGCGAAGCAUGGGUGCCCCUCCCAGGCAGGCCACAGCUCAACUCCCAGAUCCACUCACAAGGUGGUGCCCUUGGGCCAGGCACUUGACCUCCCUCAUCCCUGGUACAAGGGCGGCAGCAUCACCAUGGCAAACUCUCCAGCCAGGCCACAGGAAGAGGUCCAGGCAACACAGUGGGCAGCUGAGGCUCUGACUGCCCAGGAGCGGCACAAGGAAUCAGGCCACAGUGCCCAGUGUGUGUCCUGCUCCCGGGCAGGCGUGUGUCUGACAGCUAGGACAUCUCUCGACCCAACACGUCUGGCAGCUCUGGCCCAGGUGGGGGCAGCACUGCCUCCCACCUCACAGCCAUAGGGGCUUUUGGCUUUGUGUGUGUGUGUGCAUGUGACUGAAUUGAAGGCCUUUGCAUUGAGCUGUUUCCC